GAUGAACGCUAGCGGCAGGCUUAAUACAUGCAAGUCGUGGGGCAGCAUGAGUAGCAAUACUUGAUGGCGACCGGCAAACGGGUGAGGAACACGUACACAACCUUCCUUCAAGCGGGGAAUAGCCCAGAGAAAUUUGGAUUAAUACCCCAUAAUAUAUUUGAUAAGGCAUCUUAUUAAUAAUUAAAGCUUCGGCACUUGAUGAUGGGUGUGCGGCUGAUUAGAUAGUUGGCGGGUAACGGCCCACCAAGUCUACGAUCAGUAGCUGAUGUGAGAGCAUGAUCAGCCACACGGGCACUGAGACACGGGCCCGACUCCUACGGGAGGCAGCAGUAAGGAAUAUUGGACAAUGGACGAAAGUCUGAUCCAGCCAUGCCGCGUGAAGGAUUAAGGUCCUCUGGAUUGUAAACUUCUUUAUAUGGGACGAAAAAGGGCAUUCUUGUUCACUUGACGGUACCAUAUGAAUAAGCACCGGCUAACU
rnacentral:rRNA from 1 species